rnacentral:lncRNA from 1 species
UUUUUUCUAAUUUGUUUUUCCUUUCUUUUUCAUCUUUUUUUUCUUAAUUGAAUAAAGGGUGGCCACGUGGCGCCACCCUAUUUGUUGUUAUUUGAAUUUUUUUGAAAUGGUCAUAAACCCAUGGUACAUAGUGGGGCGCCUCCCACAUUUAUUACUUCUUUUUUCUUAUUUUUUUAAAUUUUAAACUUAAUUAUGUAUUCAUUAUUAUUAU